UUAAGAAGUAGGCGGGGCCUUGGGCUUGGAAUUAGAAGAGUCGGGGAAGGAAACAAAGGACUGCCUUCAGGCUCAGCCUGGGAAAGAUGGCAUCGGAAGCUGUGCCACAAGCCACUGGAGAAGCAGCCUGAAGGACACACAGAAUCCAGAACUGUCCGCUGUUUUCCCUGUGGGUAUGUAGAGAGCAACUACCACAAGCCAAAUAAAACCAAAGAGGUCAAAGAAGUGUCCACAGUUCCCUACUCUCCUGGGUGGAGACGCAAACUGGACAACAGCCCUCCCACAUUCCUGCCUCCCUGGCUCUCUCUGGCAGCUUCCCGUCUAUCAGCCUCCAUCCUCUGAAAGGCACAGCAGCCCGAGCAGAAAAAGUCAUGAACCUUCAUGUCCCCUUAAUUGGAUUCCAGCCUAGUUAUAUGUUAGACUUCUGAGGUCACCGAGCAUCAAGGCUUGAAGGACCCAGAGCCAUUUAUGCUGAUGAUGCACCUCCAACAAAUGUUCAAAGCCAAACUCCAAAUGUUCAAAGUCCAAGAGCUGUGACUACUGAGGGCUGCUCCGGGACAAUGGGGGGUUUCCAGUCACAGCUUCCAUAAGGACCAGUCACAAGGACUACGGGAGGUGAUUUGCACUCUCCAUUUUUUCUUUUAACAAAGGAACACAUGUCACAUGCAUAAUCAGAAAACAAGGAAAGAAAGUUUUUUUAAAGGGGUGGCAAGGACUAAGGAAAGCAAGCUCUGGAAUAAACUGAUUGUGUACAACUUUUAACAAUUUGAUAUCUUUCUGAAUUGAAAUUCACGUAGUCAGGCUCUCUUACAUCCAUUACCCUACAGAAAAGUCCGUUCCUGUGUGUGAAGAUAAUUGUAUAAAGACACUCAUAAUAGCGCCCUUUUAGGUACUAGAGGUCAAACACUGACUGAACCAUAAGCAAUCGCAGCCCCCGCCCCCACUCCUUCAGGGGACUUUUUGGUUUGUGCCCUUGAGCAGCAGUAAAAAGGUAAAGGGAGGAGAAAUGGGGCAGGCUGAGGGGUAACUUUGUUUUCAUCGGAAACUCAGAGAUGCGGGUGACAAGGAGAUACACCCAAAGGCAGGUGACAGCUGCAGAAAGAGCAGGAGCUUGAGCUCUGAGAGGAACUGUGAAGAAUGAUAGCUUCUAUCUCUCUGACAACUUGUGUAGCUACCUCUCCCCCCCUUUUUUCAAUUCCUUUCGUUGCUUUCUGAGAAAAGCCUUGGAGGACCUUCUAAAAUGUUGCCUCAUUGUAUGGUAGGAUUCCCUUGUCUGUCAGGGUGGCCACAGACUUCAGAAUAGACAACAACUCUCAAAAAAUCAGCUUCAGUCUUGGCACUCAGUAGCCAAUGAAUUAGUCUGUGUAUGAUGUGCCUGAUUUGGGGUUGGGGUGUCUGGAUGCCUCUAAAAUCCUGUUUCUGAGGUAUGCAGUCCCAGGCUUUGGAAGUAUGUGAGGGUAUCAGUUCCUGAGAUAUCUCUUGACCCUUUCAGAAAGAGCCCCUAGUCCAUCUUUUCAGCUUUUUAAAUCCAUCCCUGCCCGGACAACUUUAACGGUUGACCAAGGCCACAGCAAAGGACUAUGUGAAGGUCUUUUAAUUGCAAGUAGCUUGGCAGAGUUUUGGGGAUAAAUACCAUGUUAACACAGAGAUAAUGACAGGCUAUUCUGCAUGGGAGGGUCAUUACACUUAAUAGGCCACAGGUAGAGCCAGGAACCCAUCCUAGGAGGACAGAGGAGCAGUGACAAGCAUCUGGCAGUCAGUGAGCUAGAUAACUGUCCCCCUCUACACACAGGCUAAUUACGCAUUACCCUCAGACUGCCCUAUCGAUCGAUCAUGGGUAAUUAGACCAGAAAACCCCUCUGCCCUGCUCCAUCCUUUAGUAAGCCAGACAUGUUGGUCUCCCAUGUCUCACAGUUUGAUUUGCUCACAGAGAUGCUCCCACAGCCUGUGUGAGGGCAAGGCUGAGGGCAAGCCGUGUGCAGGAUGACUGAAAGCAGCAGUACUGGAAGCAAGGGCACUUUCCUAACUGUGGGGUUUUCAGAGUUCUCCCAAGGACUGCACAAGUCACCCAGUGCAUCAGGUGAGGCGUGCCGAGGUUGCAGACAGCAGGGGAAAGAGGCAGACACUUUUGUGGUCCUCAACUCCAGGAAUGGUGUAUUGUUACAUCUCAGUGUUUCAAAACAAAGAGCGCCCUUUUAUCUUGGUUCAGGUCCCUUAGGAAUCCUUCACUGUUGCCCACAAAGAACUAUAUUUUCCAGAAAUAAAAAAGAUGUAUCUUUA